rnacentral:lncRNA from 1 species
AUGCAUUCCCCCCCGGCAGGUCUCACCUAUGCAGAGCGUGAGGUAGAGCAGGCCCAUACGGAUGUCGAGGCGGAAGAAGAGGAUGGCAUUUGCCACUUUGCUGAACAUGAAGAUGUUCCCGAUGUGCUGCUCCACGGUGACUGCGGGAGGGAGAGAAGGAUAGAAGACGGGGCCAUGUCCCCCCAGAAGACCAGGGGGGAUCUGGUGGGAGGGCCAGAUCUGACCCUCCAGAUCCCAACCCACCCGGCCCCCUGGGGGAGGCCCCCUGAGCAGCCCCACGGCCCCCCACGCCCAGCCCCCAAGCACAGGCCCCAACUCACUAGAUCGUCGGUUCUUCAUCAUCACAAUGGCGCUGAGGAACAUGAGGAUCUCCACCUCCCGCUGGGAGGACAGGAGAGACGUUUUGAGCAGGAGGCACCCGUGGCACCCAGCCAGCACCGGCUGCAGCCGUGCUGCCCUCCCACAGCCAGGCUGCUCCUGGUCCAGCCUGGCACAGUGAAAGCAGCAGCCAUGCCAGGCCCUGCUGGCCCCGAGUCCCUGCUGGUUCCCCAUCUCCUCCCAGAGCUCCUUUCCCUCCCUCCCGCAGGCCGAGGGAGAGGCGGCAAGGGCAGCGGCUGCCCCUACAACGACAGGCGCGGCCCCCCCCACCCUCGCCGGUGCCCGGGGAGCCCCUCAGCAGCGGGACGGCGCCGGUGGAGCCAUGCCAGCGGCUACUGGGCCUUCCCGCUCCCGCGGGUGGGCCGGGGGUGCAGGCCCGGAGGAGGGCCCGUCCCGGGGGCGCGGGGCCGAGGCCGGGCCGCCUCACCCAGUCGAAGUCGCAGGGGUUGCCGUCCUCCCGCUGGGAGGGCAGCCCUUGGCAGAGCGGCGGGACCUUGCGGACGAGCAGGAAGGCGGUGGCCAGCAGAGCGGAGAGCGGGUAGUAGGGCCGCGCUAGCCAGCGGCACAGCCCCGGCACCGAGUACAGCAAGGCCAGCAGCGGCGCCACCACCGCCAUCUUCCCCUCCGCUCUCCCGGCCGCCGUCCGUCCGUCCGCCCGUCCGCUCCGCGGCAGACAGGACUUCUUCUCCCCCGGCCAGUAGCGAGCGGCGCUGUCAAGCACUUCCCGUGCCCGGGCGGACCAAUGAGGGGGGAAGAGGGAAGCGGCCAAUCGGAAGGCUGGGGCCGAGUCUCCCGUAG